ensembl:lncRNA
UUGGUCUCCUGAGUUUUAACCUUUAUGCUGAAGUUAGUGACUUACAAUCUAACCAGUUUUCUUUUUGACAGUUUAGCAGAUCACCUGUGUUUUCAUUAAGUUAAGCUAUCAGUAAUAAGAAUGAAAUGAACCCACAUAGACUUGUUUUCUGAAGUGUUUUGUAAAAUAUUUUCCAAAGGCAGUAUUUGCUGUCAAAAAAUAAGUUGCACAAAGAAAAGUGAUGUUUUCUGUGGUUUUUGAAGAGGGAGUUGGACAGACUUUCAUGUGUUGUAAUAUUUUUAUGCAUUUGAUGAUGCCUGAUAAGGUUGAAGUUUUAUAAAAUAUCCUUUCUUAAUAUAAAGAUGGUAAUUUGAGGGAAAUACUGUAAUGAUUUGCGUGCUGUAGUUUUUGAGUAGGAACUUCAGAAAUACACGUGGGGUGUAAGAAAGGGGAAGGCAAUUCCAGGCCUUAUGGGAUGGUGUCCUGCAGGUUUUAGAUGUGUCCUUGUGUCCAUCACAGCUGAUAUCAAUGGCUAAAUUACCUCCUCAACAUGUCUUGAAGUUCACCUAAGGCUCGGUAAUAAACUAAUCAUUUGAUUCAGGUGUGUUGACCCAGGGUCAUAUCUAAAAUCUGCAGAGCACUGGCCCUUGAGGCCUGGAGUAGCCCACACCUGGUGUAAGACGCAAAGAGGUUUGUCUAUAUCAAUAUACAGAGACUACAUGAAGAAUGGCGUUGAUGCAACUAAUUAGUAACCGUCCAGAGACACCGUACUUCCGGCCACCACCCUUGCAUGUCUGUGUGUUAAGAAUUUGUGAACAGCCAAGGGUGAUUACUUGGGAUGUAAAGGAGGGAGUGGCAACAUCUGUCACUAAAAAGUAUAAUAAAGUGGCAGCCAUUUCUGAUGGCAACACAGUUGUUAAGGUGACUUUUUAUGAGGAGUUUGUGUCAAAAGUGCAGCAGGGCUUUUCGUACAUUAUGAAAGGGCAUGAGCUAAGAGGGACAGCUCCCCCUUAUGCUAUUCCUAUUAGUGCUUUGACACAAUUCUUCAAGUCGUCUGCACUUUCUGUGGCACAAGAGCUUUUUUCCAAAGCAGAGGAGCUUUUGCAUCCCCCGGCUCCUUUGAUCGACCUGAAAAUGAGCUCCACAAAUGUGGGGCUUAUAACAGUAGAGGGGGAGGUUGUGGAGUGUUUGGCCACCAGGAAAGUGCUGUCAGGGAAACAAGGAGUUCCCAUCAAAAAUUUGCAGCUAAAACAGGAUGGUUGUACCAUGAGAGUGUGUUUGUGGAGGGAGGCGGCCAUUCAUCAGCUUCACGUGGGAGACCACAUAAAGGUGUCCCAUGUUAAGGUGAAGCAGUCAGCUUUUGGAUUAGAGCUGCACAGUACGGUAUUUACAAAGAUUGAGACAACUGAAGAGGAACGUGCACAAGUAAAUGUCAUCGGCGUUACCACCACCAACAGCUCCAACCAGCUAGAGGUACUCUUGGAGGGUGGAGAGAGCCUGUAUAUUGAAGCAGAGAUGUGGCAGCCAUUUGACAAAGACCUGGAAAAGGCCAUGGUCUGUGUCAACAUAAAAGUGAAAGGAAAGCAUAUUUCAGAGAUGAAACAAAACUCAGCG